AUACGUAGGGUGCGAGCGUUAAUCGGAAUUACUGGGCGUAAAGCGUGCGCAGGCGGUUUUGUAAGACAGCUGUGAAAUCCCCGGGCUUAACCUGGGAACUGCGGUUGUGACUGCAAGACUAGAGUGUGGGAGAGGGUACUGGAAUUCCCGGUGUAGCGGUGAAAUGCGCAGAUAUCGGGAGGAACACCAAUGGCGAAAGCAAGUACCUGGACCACUACUGACACUCAGCUGCGAAAGCUAGGGGAGC
rnacentral:rRNA from 1 species